rnacentral:rRNA from 1 species
UACGGGGGGGGCAAGCGUUGUUCGGAAUUACUGGGCGUAAAGGGCUCGUAGGCGGCCAACUAAGUCAGACGUGAAAUCCCUCAGCUUAACUGGGGAACUGCGUCCGAUACUGGAUGGCUUGGAUUUGGGAGAGGGAUGCGGAAUUCCGGGUGUAGCGGUGAAAUGCGUAGAUAUCCGGAGGAACACCGGUGGCGAAGGCGGCUUCCUGGACCGACACUGACGCUGAGGCGCGAAAGCUAGGGGAGCAAACGGG